UACGUAUGGUGCAAGCGUUAUCCGGAUUUACUGGGUGUAAAGGGAGCGCAGGCGGCGUGGCAAGUCAGAUGUGAAAACCCGGGGCCCAACCCCGGGAGUGCAUUUGAAACUGUUUCCCUUGAGUAUCGGAGAGGUCAUCGGAAUUCCUAGUGUAGCGGUGAAAUGCGUAGAUAUUAGGAAGAACACCAGUGGCGAAGGCGGAUGACUGGACGACAACUGACGGUGAGGCGCGAAAGCGUGGGGAGCAAACAGG
rnacentral:rRNA from 1 species